rnacentral:rRNA from 1 species
AGCGAACGCUGGCGGUAGGCCUAACACAUGCAAGUCGAACGGCAGCACAGGAGAGCUUGCUCUCUGGGUGGCGAGUGGCGGACGGGUGAGGAAUACAUCGGAAUAUACCUUUUCGUGGGGGAUAACGUAGGGAAACUUACGCUAAUACCGCAUACGACCUACGGGUGAAAGUGGGGGACCGCAAGGCCUCACGCGAUUAGAUGAGCCGAUGUCCGAUUAGCUAGUUGGCGGGGUAAUGGCCCACCAAGGCGGCGAUCGGUAGCUGGUCUGAGAGGAUGAUCAGCCACACUGGAACUGAGACACGGUCCAGACUCCUACGGGAGGCAGCAGUGGGGAAUAUUGGGCAAUGGGCGCAAGCCUGAUCCAGCCAUACCGCGUGGGUGAAGAAGGCCUUCGGGUUGUAAAGCCCUUUUGUUGGGAAAGAAAUCCUGUCGAUUAAUACUCGGUGGGGAUGACGGUACCCAAAGAAUAAGCACCGGCUAACUUCGUGCCAGCAGCCGCCGUAAGAC